GACGAACGCUGGCGGCGUGCUUAACACAUGCAAGUCGAACGGACAGGCCCUGCUUGCAGGGUGCUCGCGUGGCGAACGGGUGAGUAACACGUAGGUGAUUUGCCUCUUUAUUUGGGUUAGGUCUGGGCAACUGGGUCUAAUACUGGCUAGGUCAAUGCUGUAGGUGGAGUGGUGGAAAGAUUAGUUUCGGUAGGGGAUGAGCUCGCGGCCUAUCAGCUUGUCGGUGGGGUAAUGGCCUACCAAGGCGUCGACGGGUAGCCGGCCAGUCUGGGUGGGCGGCAAGGUCGAGACUGCGAGGCGGCGCAGACGCCUGCGGGAGGCAGCAGUGGGGAAUAGUGCACAAUGGGCGCAAGCCGGAUGUAGCGACGCCGCGCGGAGGGUGACGGCCUUCGAGUUGGGAACUCCUUACGGCCAUGACGAUGCCCUUGUGGUGACGGUAGUGGUAGAAGAAGCACCGGCUAACUACGUG
rnacentral:rRNA from 1 species